rnacentral:rRNA from 1 species
UACGAACCGUGCGAACGUUGUUCGGAAUCACUGGGCUUAAAGGGCUCGUAGGCGGCCAACUAAGUCAGACGUGAAAUCCCUCGGCUUAACCGGGGAACUGCGUCUGAUACUGGAUGGCUUGAAUCCGGGAGAGGGAUGCGGAAUUCCAGGUGUAGCGGUGAAAUGCGUAGAUAUCUGGAGGAACACCGGUGGCGAAGGCGGCAUCCUGGACCGGCAUUGACGCUGAGGAGCGAAAGCCAGGGGAGCAAACGGG